rnacentral:rRNA from 1 species
AGAGUUUGAUCCUGGCACAGGAUGAACGCUGGCGGCGUGCUUAACACAUGCAAGUCGAACGAAGCACUUAGAAUUGAUUUCUUCGGAUUGAUUUUCUUUGUGACUGAGUGGCGGACGGGUGAGUAACGCGUGGGUAACCUGCCUCAUACAGGGGGAUAACAGUUAGAAAUGACUGCUAAUACCGCAUAAGCGCACAGUGCCGCAUGGUACAGUGUGAAAAACUCCGGUGGUAUGAGAUGGACCCGCGUCUGAUUAGCUAGUUGGUGGGGCAACGGCCUACCAAGGCGACGAUCAGUAGCCGACCUGAGAGGGUGACCGGCCACAUUGGGACUGAGACACGGCCCAAACUCCUACGGGAGGCAGCAGUGGGGAAUAUUGCACAAUGGGGGAAACCCUGAUGCAGCGACGCCGCGUGAAGGAAGAAGUAUCUCGGUAUGUAAACUUCUAUCAGCAGGGAAGAAAAUGACGGUACCUGACUAAGAAGCCCCGGCUAACUACGUGCCAGCAGCCGCGGUAAUACGUAGGGGGCAAGCGUUAUCCGGAUUUACUGGGUGUAAAGGGAGCGUAGACGGUAUGGCAAGUCUGAUG